rnacentral:SRP_RNA from 1 species
GCCAGGUGCAGUGGCACAUGCCUGUAGUCCCAGUUACUUGGGAGGCUGAAGCUGGAGGAUCGCUUGAGCCCAGGAGUUCUGGGCUGUAGUGCGCUAUGCUGACCGGGUGUCCGCACUAAGUUCAACAUCAAUAUGGUGACUUCCCGGGAGCGGGGGACCACCAGGUUGCCUAUGGAGGGGUGAACCGGCCCAGGUCAGAAACGAGCAGGUCAAAACUCCCAUGCUGAUGAAUAGUGGGAUCACGCCUGUGAAUAGCCCCUUCUCUCCAGCCUGGGCAACAAAGCAGGAUCCCGUCUCU